UUUCAAGAAGGUGAUCACAGAGCAAUAAACCAAAUUAUCUGCCAUUUUCUAUAUACAGGGUUCUCCCUGCCCACUACACUCAUUUUUUCUUUCUUGAAAACAUCUGUGGAUAUAAGUGCCCUCGGUGAAGGACUCCAGGAAUCAUUUUGGUGGAUAUUUUCCUCUGCAUUGGAUGCAGCAUGUCCUCAAAUAACUGGAGAGCCUCCAUGGUUUGAAAAUGAUCAAGAAUAAUCCAAGACACCCAUGGCCCAAUUUUAUGGAUUACAGCUAUAAAAAAAAUUCACUGUAAUAUCUGUGAUUCCUUGGUAAUUACUUGUAGUGAUCUUAUUUACAGGAUAGUAUUUGUA
rnacentral:lncRNA from 1 species